UUAACGUUGCAGACUGGGUACUCAUGUGGGCAGCAGCUAUAAUGGUCAUCACAGCAGGUGGCACCCUCGAGUGGGCAGCAUCCCCAUGCAAAGCAAUACUUUCCAUACUCAAAGAUGCAGCAGCAAGUACUGCUAUCAGGGCAGGAAAAGUAAUUAUCACACACGGAAGGAGGUUUUACUGGAGAUGGAGGCGAUGGACCAGGAUUGGGGGGAUUUUGGCCUUUCUUGAUAGGGUAAGAGGGUUCUAUUGCAAUUCCACAUUUUCCUGUUGGACUAGCAAUGUUUCUCUCCAUUCUGAUAUAGCCGCUCUCUCCCCAGCUCUUGCCCCAUGAGUUCCUCACAAUCCAGUAAUCUUUACCCUUUUCAGUUCCGUAACCCACGGCAGCAACACCAUGGUCCAGACUUGUCCCACAUUCUCCA
rnacentral:lncRNA from 1 species